rnacentral:misc_RNA from 1 species
UCCGGUUUAUCACCGGCAGUCUCCCUAAAGUUCCCGACUUGACUCGCUGGCAACAUAGAACGAGGGUUGUGCUCGUUGCGGGACUUAACCCAACAUCUCACGACACGAGCUGACGACAACCAUGCACCACCUGUAUACCUGCCUUGCGGGAGACUGUUUCCAGCCUUUUCAGGUAUAUGUCAAGCCUUGGUAAGGUUCUUCGCGUUGCAUCGAAUUAAUCCGCAUGCUCCGCCGCUUGUGCGGGCCCCCGUCAAUUCCUUUGAGUUUUAGCCUUGCGGCCGUACUCCCCAGGCGGGGAACUUAAUGCGUUAGCUGCGACACGGAAGCCGUGGAAUGGCCCCCACAUCUAGUUCCCAACGUUUACGGCGUGGACUAC